rnacentral:rRNA from 1 species
CCUACGGGAGGCAGCAGUGAGGAAUAUUGGUCAAUGGACGAGAGUCUGAACCAGCCAAGUAGCGUGAAGGAUGACUGCCCUAUGGGUUGUAAACUUCUUUUAUAUGGGAAUAAAACGUUCCACGUGUGGGAUUUUGUAUGUACCAUAUGAAUAAGGAUCGGCUAACUCCGUGCCAGCAGCCGCGGUAAUACGGAGGAUCCGAGCGUUAUCCGGAUUUAUUGGGUUUAAAGGGAGCGUAGGUGGAUUGUUAAGUCAGUUGUGAAAGUUUGCGGCUCAACCGUAAAAUUGCAGUUGAAACUGGCAGUCUUGAGUACAGUAGAGGUGGGCGGAAUUCGUGGUGUAGCGGUGAAAUGCUUAGAUAUCACGAAGAACUCCGAUUGCGAAGGCAGUUCACUGGACUGCAACUGACACUGAGGCUCGAAAGUGUGGGUAUCAAACAGGAUUAGAAACCCGUGUAGUC